rnacentral:rRNA from 1 species
UGGGGAAUAUUGCACAAUGGGGGAAACCCUGAUGCAGCGACGCCGCGUGAGUGAAGAAGUAUUUCGGUAUGUAAAGCUCUAUCAGCAGGGAAGAAAGUGACGGUACCUGAGUAAGAAGCCCCGGCUAACUACGUGCCAGCAGCCGCGGUAAUACGUAGGGGGCAAGCGUUAUCCGGAUUUACUGGGUGUAAAGGGAGCGUAGACGGCAGUGCAAGUCUGAAGUGAAAGCCCCGGGCUUAACCCGGGAACUGCUUUGGAAACUGUACGGCUGGAGUGCUGGAGAGGUAAGCGGAAUUCCUAGUG